rfam:Marine metagenome 1096626427317, whole genome shotgun sequence.
GUACUGAAAUGCAUGGUGGGAAAUCAAUGUGUAAUUCAUUGGCUGUACCUGCAACCGUAAAGUCGGAGCGCCACCCAGUAU